UGUAUUUGACCGAAUUGAAG
rnacentral:misc_RNA from 1 species